rnacentral:rRNA from 1 species
UACGGGGGGAGCAAGCGCUGUUCGGAUUUACUGGGCGUAAAGGGCGCGUAGGCGGCCAGCACAAGUCAGUUGUGAAAUCUCCGAGCUUAACUCGGAACGGUCAACUGAUACUGUGCGGCUAGAGUGCAGAAGGGGCAACUGGAAUUCUUGGUGUAGCGGUGAAAUGCGUAGAUAUCAAGAGGAACACCUGCGGCGAAGGCGGGUUGCUGGGCUGACACUGACGCUGAGGCGCGAAAGCUAGGGGAGCGAACGGG